CACCAAUCAAGCCUCGCUUGGUAUUGGGCGAUGUGCAAGCCGCACGCUUCAAAUGCUCCGGCCGAGCAGUCUCUCUCCCGGCGUCGUGGAAACAUACCGCUAUGGGGACGCGACCUGCGCGUGCCGCAAGAACCUUUAUUCUCUAA
rnacentral:misc_RNA from 1 species